rnacentral:misc_RNA from 1 species
GUUAAAGUAUACAACACAGUUGAAUAUCGUUUCGGGAAACAAUGUCUGGGCCUCAAUUUCACACGCAACAUACGCAAGCUGGACGUGAUGUCAACAAUGUCGCUGGGGACCAAAAAAACCGUGGCGACACUGCUAACCAAAUCGUCAAUAAUCCUGUUAAGCAAACCCUUAAAGCUGAUGUUGACCAAUCCGUGAAGAACAUUGCCAGCAACAACAAGAACCAGGUGGCCGUUGGCGGCAGCAACAAAAUGAAUGAGCAGAAGGGCAA